AACGGGGAUAAAAAAAAUACCCCACCUCAAUAUCCUACCUUGGUAACUUGUUUUAAUUUUGGAAGACAAAACAAAAGAAUUCACGUUCCAACAAUCCCUUUCUCUACCCCUGCUUACAUGCUGUGCAUGUAUAUGUAUAUAUUUUAUUUUUUUGUGUUCUUUCUGUCAUGUGAAAUAAAUUUUAUAUACAUAGGCCGUUGGUGUAUCGUGAGGAAACGUGUGAGAGUGAAAUGAGGUUAUGGAUGAGUAUUGGGAACUGAAAUUUUGACUAAGUCUCGUCACUCAAAAAUCAAAAUCAGCACAUUUCCCUACAUGUGUGUCAUUACCAUUUAAUUCAAAGUUCUAGUUAAGGAAAAAA
rnacentral:lncRNA from 1 species